rnacentral:lncRNA from 1 species
CCCAAUUUUCAAUAGAAACAUUCCUAUUAGAUGUACACUGGUUAAACAUUGUAAUUUUGGCUUUGGAUGACUGAUAUGUUACGUUCAACUACUUCGACUAAGUUAACAGAUAGAAAUUUACAAUAAAAUACAGAAAAAGGGUCGCCGAUGCCAUCUCGAAUACCUUAAUAAGAAAGUGAUUUAUGACGGUUUUUGUCAACGAACUGUACAGUGAUUAUUUAAAAACGCACAACGAACUCGACACAUUUGGUGAGACGAACGAUACAGUAAGAGAAAACUUAUGAAGUAUGAUAUUGCGUUUAUUCUGAGUUUUAUGGAACAUUUGAAGGCACGUAGUAAUUCAACGUAUAGUUAUUUAUUAUUACUUAAGGUAUUAAUACGCAAAAGUGUAUGCACGAAAAGAUAUUCAGCAUUGUUUAUCUCAUAAAACGUAUGAAAUUGCACCAUGUCUGUGCGUUUUGCAUCUAGCAGUUUU